GUGCUUGCUUCGGCAGCACAUAUACUAAAAUUGGAACGAUGCAGAGAUGAGCAUGACCUCUGCACAAGGAUGACAUGAAAAUUAUUAGGAAUUAGAUAUAAAAAU